GAUGAACGCUGGCGGCGUGCUUAACACAUGCAAGUCGAACGGUGAAGCAGGAGCUUGCUCCUGUGGAUCAGUGGCGAACGGGUGAGUAACACGUGAGCGAUCUGCCCUGGACUCUGGGAUAAGCGUUGGAAACGACGUCUAAUACCGGAUACGAGGCGUGGGGGCAUCCCCAACGCCUGGAAAGAACUUCGGUCCAGGAUGAGCUCGCGGCCUAUCAGGUAGUUGGUGAGGUAACGGCUCACCAAGCCUACGACGGGUAGCCGGCCUGAGAGGGUGACCGGCGACACUGGGACUGAGACACGGCCCAGACUCCUACGGGAGGCAGCAGUGGGGAAUAUUGCACAAUGGGCGCAAGCCUGAUGCAGCAACGCCGCGUGAGGGACGACGGCCUUCGGGUUGUAAACCUCUUUUAGCAGGGAAGUAGCGAAAGUGACGGUACCUGCAGAAAAAGCACCGGCUAACUACGUGCCAGCCGCCGCGGUAAAAC
rnacentral:rRNA from 1 species